rnacentral:lncRNA from 1 species
UUUUUUUCGAGAACAUGCCUGAGAAUGUAUUUCAUUAAGAAGAAAAGGAAUACAACGAUACAGCCAGAGCUGCCACAACACAACACUACAACUCAAACACCACACACACACAACACAAACCAAACACAACACUACAACACAAGCACAACGCUACAACCCAAGCACAAGGGUAACCAGUCAAGCAACUCAAAGAUCAUAAGUAGAUGGUACCACCAAGCGUGAAGUCCUAUCCUUGCCGAGAGAUGAGCCACCACCUAAGCUUGGAGACGAGAGAGCGACCACCUCAACUCUAGAAGCAAUGAAGCACGUUACGCCGCUUGAUGACCAAAAUAGCUACAACCAAGAGACCAACACCCUGCAUACAAAGAGUAAAGACUGUCGAAACCAGCCAGAGCACCCAUGUCGAUGGCAAGAAAAGCACGAAGGAUUUCUUAAAUACGAUGCCUUCAAGAAGGGCACGACGCACAUGUGCGCCGCCAUCACCUAUCUGGACAUCCAGACUCGGUUUUCACCUAAGGAAACAAGGGUUAAGGUUAUCACAAUGCCUCCAACAAUGUGAACGACGUCCAAGGACGUCGCCAUUGUUGCGUCAGCCCAAGCUACGCAAGGCUUUCGCCUAAGACCCAUUGACCCAUCCUUCGCCCCUAACACCACGGCCAACGGGGAACACAGCUAGAGACAAAUUAGACAAGUGUAAGCCAUGCAAGGGUGAAGGAAGAGCAGCGUUGCUUGAAGAGGGGCGCUAGCAGAUCCAGAGCGGAAGCGCAGCCUGUAGGACUUCCUACCAUCAGAGCAACAGAUGGGCACGACCAAGAACGGUGCCAACAACGGCCACCUACACGACCAAGCAAUAGGCGAUGGGAGUAGCGAGGGAGGCUCAAGGGCGCCCCAACAUAGAUACGGGCAGCACAACAGAGGUGGCGGCAACCCCACCAACAACCAGCAGCGGCGGUGGCUCCGGACGAUGACCAUCGGCGGCGACAGCAGCCACCCAUGACCCGAGCAAUGCGCCCCCCAGGCCCCACCCUGACUACAAGGGCGUAGAUCUGGGAUGAAUCCGCUUGGACGAGGGAUGGGGGCAGCUAUCGGAGGUGGCGACGGUGACUCAGAGGCCACCACCAUCAGCGACAACAAGAGCCGUCUCCCGACAUGAGGAGCACGGAUUCGGCUAGAUCUACCUGAAGCGAGGCCGGAGGUGGCCCAUGUCAGCAUCGGAGAGCACCCUUGGCGACCAUGGAGCUGAAGUAUGAGAGAGAUUGGGGGAGAGGAAGGGGAAGGAGGGAGGAGAGGGGAGGGUGCCCAGGCCAACUUCGACCGUGGCGGCAGCCUUCAAGGCUAGGAUUUGGGGGGAGUUGGUGGCGGCGACGGAUGUUACCCUCAAGUCGCCCAGGGAGGAC